GACGCUGGCGGUAUGCUUAACACAUGCAAGUCGAACGGAAACGAAACUAGCUUGCUAGUAGGCGUCGAGUGGCGGACGGGUGAGUAACGCGUAGGAAUCUGCCUGAUAGUGGGGGAUAGCCCGAAGAAAUUCGGAUUAAUACCGCAUAAUCUAUUCGUAGUAAAGUGGGGGACUUUCGAGCCUCACGCUAUCAGAUGAGCCUGCGUAAGAUUAGCUUGUUGGUAGGGUAAAAGCCUACCAAGGCUACGAUCUUUAGCUGGUCUGAGAGGAUGAUCAGCCACAUCGGGACUGAGACACGGCCCGAACUCCUACGGGAGGCAGCAGUGGGGAAUAUUGGACAAUGGGGGCAACCCUGAUCCAGCAAUACCGCGUGUGUGAAGAAGGCCUGAGGGUUGUAAAGCACUUUCAAUUGUGAAGAAAAGUUAACGGUUAAUAACCGUUGACCUUGACGUUAACUUUAGAAGAAGCACCGGCUAACUCCGUGCCAGCAGCCGCGGUAAUACGGAGGGUGCAAGCGUUAAUCGGAAUUACUGGGCGUAAAGCGUGCGUAGGCGGUUUAUUAAGUCAGAUGUGAAAGCCCCGGGCUUAACCUGGGAACUGCAUUUGAAACUGGUCAACUAGAGUAUGGUAGAGGAAAGUGGAAUUUCUGGUGUAGCGGUGAAAUGCGUAGAUAUCAGAAGGAACAUCAAUGGCGAAGGCAGCUUUCUGGACCAAUACUGACGCUGAGGCACGAAAGCGUGGGUAGCAAACAGGAUUAGAUACCCUGGUAGUCCACGCCGUAAACGAUGAUAACUAGCCGUUGGGGGGAUUUACCCCUUAGUGGCGAAGCUAACGCGUUAAGUUAUCCGCCUGGGGAGUACGGCCGCAAGGCUAACCAAUAUGA
rnacentral:rRNA from 1 species